AGCGUCGUAGUGCAAUGGUUAGCAUACGCUCCCGGAAAGAGUGAGAUCUGGGUUCGAAUCCCGACUGACGCAA